rnacentral:lncRNA from 1 species
CAUGAUACAGAUGAAUGCCUAGCAUUAAAACAUAAGAUUUAGAAUUUAAUUGAUGCUAAGAAACUGCAAGUGCACCUACCAGUUGGAACAAAUAUCUCAAAUGCAAUUAGCCGCAACACAAGCAAUAUACCGAGCGUGGUUGGGUGUCCGAAGAAAAAAUAUCGUUUGGACUAGUUCACCUUUGCAUUGCUGGCAUUAUCAUUUUGCAACUAUCAUUAUAGGAGUAGCUAUUUUUGUAAUCAUGCUUUGCUUUUGUAAGAACUACGUGUUAACCUGAUUUCCGUUUAAGAGGGGAUACGUAGGCAAUCCUAUGGGUUCGGUCUCAUCAUAAUAAGAUUCUAUUUACCCCAAAAGCCAAAACCGGGGCAGAUUUUGCAGAAGGAUCUUCAUCAUUCAGCAAAGCAAAAAAUGAAAUUCCGAGCUACAUAUUUGUUACAAGCAUAACAGCAAAUUCCAUAAUACCAUGGCAACAAGUUGCAGAUUCAAAGACAAACUUUGACGUUCAAUGCAAGGCAACCACUUUCUUUUAUACUAAUGAAUUUUCUUUGAGUAAUGCAGGGGCAUUUUUAGAUAUUCUUGAACAUUACAUGCUAUUGCAAAGCUCAUCAGCAAGUUAGAAGUCGCAAGAUUCAUGCAAAGCAAAGGAUGAAGCCAAGCGAGCGCAAAUAAAACUUUGCAACUUAUAAUUUUUCUUUGAAUGCAGGAUAGCGGGGGGUGUACCUUUGAAGCUUCAACUCUCCACCGGAUUGCAUAAUCCUGAAAAGAUUCAUGUGGUAUUUUUAUUUUGUACAGGCUAUGCAUGUCUGGAUCAGCUCCAAGGUUGAACUCAUAUUGCUUUACAAAAUUGUGAGCCAUAUCAUCCCACGUGCUCCAUUUGCUAAAAUCUUGUUUUGUGUACCAAACAAGUGCAUGUCCUGAUAAGCUUUGAAUAAACAAGUGCAGGUCCCAAAUGGACUCGUUGUGUCCUAUGCCAAUUAACCUGCUACAAUAGUCUUUCAAAUGAGCAAUGGGAUUUCCCUUCCCGUUGAAAGUAUUAAACUUUGGCAUCUGGUACCCUAGUGGGAGUUCUACAUCUGGUUGCAGGCAUAAGUCUUCAUAUCGUAGACUUUGGUAAUUUCUUGAUUGCAAUUCUUAUCCAAUGGAUUUCUUUAAAUCCGAAGUUCUUUAUCCAAAUCUUUACGAUAAAUUUGUUGGAUUUCUUUUCCACAUCUCUUAUGAGGGCAUACUGCUAGUUCGUUUUGCUUGCUUUCUUCAAAUGGAGUUGUGGUUAUGGGAGGCAUUAUCAUGACUUGAUUAGGGUUGCAGGUUGAUGGAACUUCUGUAGAGAUUGCAUAAGUAGGAGCUGGGCAAGGGGAUAUGGUUAAGCAAAUAUUUUGGUUUGAGUUAGAAGCUGAGGUUGCAUUCGGAAGAAGGUUGAAAGUUCUUCCCAGAUUAACCAGCAAUUUUUUUCGUACCCCAUUUGCCUCGGUAUCUUCACCUUUUGCUUGCAAAAAUCUCAUACCUGUACUGAAUGCUUCAAAUCUGUAUGCCAUAUAGCUUCGUCCUUUAUGCAGAUUCACAGCCAAAAUAGUAUUCAAUGCUAGGCAACCUUUAAAGGCAAAAAUAAAACUUUUAUACAAAAGCAAAGUGUUAGCAUAUUCAUCACAAUGAAAUAAAUGCACAAAAUAAUAAAGUAUAUAACUAGAUAGGUUAAUUCAUAAUAUGGUUAAGUAGAAGCCCUAAACUGGAAACGAUGGCUUAAGUUGUAAAAUGGAUGGACGAGAAUGACUUGUUAUCUAGAGGUCUCUAACACUAGAGACUUGAAGGAAAGGAAGUAAAAUGAAUUUGAGUAGAAUGUGCAGUUUGUGAGAGGUUGACUCACGUUGAGACAUCAAAGUUUAUCCUUAAAAUAGGUUCUUGCCCUUGCAUGGCUCUGAAAUUUAAAAAAAAUUGCCCCAAUCUUUGUGAAGUUUCUGAUGACUACUCCAUUGCAUGAUUUCCAUUUCGAGCAUACUCAUCCUGCGUGCUAAACAUCUGCCCCAGUUUCUUUGCUAUAAUGAAACUGAGCCUUAUGUAGGCUGUGCUUCAAAGAGGCCAUAGGCGAAUAAUUUUGACGUUGUAAAAUAAUUUUUGGCUGUUUGAAUAUCGACAGGCUCAGAAUCAAGAUACUUAAUUAGGAUAUAAGAGUCAAUUGGACAUGAAAUGACUCUAUUAUUAUUUUUUAGUGUUGGCAAAUCAUAAAGUCGAGGCCCGGAAUACGGUAUCAACCGUUUUGAGACUUAUGGGAUAGUACCUCAACUCACAUGCCAAGACUUAGAAUUAACGGGUGCGUGAAGAUUAGGAUCGACGACCCGAAAUAAAACGAUACAGACACUUGAAUUGAAUAGGUAAAAAUUUUAGAAUAAUUUGACGAUGCAAAUUGACCAAAAUAGUGCCCUUCUAUUGCUCGGUAGAUUGCGCAAGUUUGAACAUCUACCAAUUUGAAAAUGAGAAUUGGCAUGAAGGUUGAAAUAGUUAGAAUAGUAAGUAGAUUUUAUGAAACAUAGAGCUACGAGAAGAAUCGAAGGUACGAAUAUUCGGUGAGGCACGAGUUGCAAUAUUUGAAAAAUAUGUAACUAUAUUUUAAGAAAAGAAUGCAAGUAAAAUUAACUCACGGAUUAGAUGGGAAAAAUAUUUUCUAAUUAUGAAAUAUUACGACAGUUUUUUUUUUUAAAUUUAAAGAAGUAGGAAUGAUAUCUUGCUAUAGGGAGUGAGAUGCUCAUUGUUGUUUAAAAAAGUCUUAAUGCUAGUUUAUGGAAUGGAUUCGAGAAAUUUAUGACGAACCUGGCCUAUUGAGGAGUUUAUGGGAAAGACGUCGUACUUUAUAAAAAUAGAAGAUACCGAGAGACUAAAUAUAUCUUAAUUAGACUCUAAGAAUUGGAGUAGACCUAAAAAAAAUUUGAGCCUAAGUAAAUACAAAAAUGGUCCUCUAAAGUUGUUAUGCGCGGAAUGAUUGAUGAUUAUUAUUAUUAAUUCAAGGAAAUGAUAUAAAAAUAAGCAAAAGAAAAAAAUAUAUGCACAAAUGAAAGUAUAUAUUUAAAUAAAGAUAUAAGCAAGUUGGAUAGUUAAUACUUCAAAAAACAACAGAUAAUGUUAGUGAAAAUAAUAAAGUCGAGUAAGUAACAUAGCAAGUAAACAAGCAAAGCAGGUGACAAAUUCAAAAGCAUAACAAAUAAUAGUGUGUUCUAAUAUGCAGGGGACCUCUGUGUGCUAGAGGUAGGCCUAACGUGUAUUUGAAAGAUAAAUAUGCCAUUAUAUAUCAUCCCAUUGUUGUAAAUUAAUUAAAUAAUUCUAUUUUUUGAAAAGCAAAUAAAAUGGUAAAAUAUAACUGCUUAAACCUCUUCUUUGUGGUCCAAAGAAAGUAUAUUUUCAUCAAAGGAAAGUAUACUAAAAUAUAUUUUCUCAUGUUUAAACUUCUCGUUAAUUGUGUAAUUCAAAAGAUUUCAUAAAUACCAUAAAAACGUUGAUCAUGCUCAUUUACCUAGGAUUUAAUAAAUUUAGAGCAAACGAUCCACAUAAUUGGCAUAUUCACCUUUCAAAUGAUGCACAUAUACGUGAUAAGGUGUCACUUGGGGUUCAAAACCCACUCGGACAUUUAGGUAAGGUUAAUUAAUGGAUUUAAUACACCUCGGGUAUUAAAUGACCUAAGGUUAAAAUGAUGCAUGCUCGUAAAAGGGUUUUAGUUUGGCUCUAUCUUAGGCUGACUAAGAAUGAGUUUUGCUAGACUGGUCAUCUCCCAAGCGGACAACUUGAGAGUGGAAAGCCCGUGACUGUCGACUGCACCGCUGAUCGAUUUACCCACGAACUUUCCCCUAAAAGGUAUUUUUUUAAAAAGUGCACGACCACAGACUACGUAACCGCUAGGUGUGUGCUUUGUGUGAAUUUUCCAGAAGUGGAGGAAGUAAAACGAAAUAACAAAUUAUAUAAAUUAAUAAGAAUAUAUGAUCAAGUGGUAAUCAGACCUGUUUCUAUGCCCUCCCAGCCAAACCAGAUGCUAUUUCUUCAGAUGCUGUGAUUACAAGUAUUGUCUCAGUCUGCCACAGAGAUGCUUCUGUAUUAUUUGAUCCUGGUUCCACUUUUUCAUAUGUGUUAUCAUAUUUUUCUCAUUAUUUGGAUAUGCCCCGUGAGUCUCUUGUUUCAUCUGUACGUGUAUCUACUCCGGUGGGUGAUACUAUUAUUAUGUACCGCGUGUAUCGUUCUUGUGUGGUGACUAUUUGGGGUUUGGAUACCCGACUGGAUCUUCUGUUGCUUUGUAUGGUCAAUUUUGAUGUGAUAUUGGGCAUGGAUUGGUUAUCUCUGUAUCAUGCUAUUUUGGACUGUCAUGCUAAGACAGUGACGUUGGCUAUGCCGGGUGUGCCACGGAUCGAGUAGCGAGGUUUGACUAAUUUUGUCCCUAGUAGGGUGAUUUCAUUUCUGAAGGCCCAGCGGAUGGUUGGGAAAGGUUGUCUUUCAUACUUAGCUUUCGUGAGGGAUGUUAGUGUAGAGACUACUACAAUUAAUUCAAUCCCGGUAGUGAGGGACUUUCCGGAUGUAUUUCCUGCGGACCUGUCGAGCAUGCCCCCGGACAGGGAUAUUGACUUUGGUAGUGACUUGAUACCGGGCACUCAGCCUAUUUCUAUUCCACCAUAUCGUAUGGCAUCGGCGGAGUUGAAGGAGCAGCUUCAGGAACUCCUUGAUCAGCGGUUUAUUCGGCCUAGUGUGUCGCAGUGUGGUAUGCCUCUUCUAUUUGUGAAGAAGAAGGAUGACACUAUGAGGAUGUGCAUUGAUUACAGGCAGUUGAACAAUGUCACAAUCAAGAACAAGUAUCGUUUGCCUCGUAUUGAUGAUUUAUUUGACCAACUUUAGGGAGCGAGGGUGUUAUCCAAGAUUGAUCUCUGUUCAGGGUAUCACCAGUUGAAGAUCAGGGACUUGAAUAUUCUUAAGAAAACUUUCAGGACCUAGUAUGGUCAUUAUGAGCUCCUUGUGAUGUCUUUUGGGCUGACCAAUGCCUAGCAGCAUUCAUGCAUUUGAUGAACAUCACGUUUCGGCCUUAUCUCGACUCGUUUGUUAUUGUAUUCAUUGAUGGUAUUCUGGUAUACUCGUGCAGUCAGGAGGAGCACGCGAAGCAUUUGAGAGUUAUGUUGCAGUAGUUGAGGGAGGAGAAACUUAUGCAAAGUUCUCCAAGUGUGAGUUUUGGCUUAGUUCAGUGGCUUUAUUGGGGCACGUGGUGUCCAGUAAGGGUAGUCAGGUUGAUCUGACGAAGAUAGAGGCGGUUCAGAGUUGGUCCAAACCGUGCUCAGCCACAGAGAUUUGCAGCUUUCUUGGUUUGGUGGUCUAUUGUCGUCGGUUCGUUCAGGGAUUUUCAUAUAUAGCAUCACCGUUGACCAAAUUAUCUCAAAAGGGUGCUCCUUUCAGGUGGUCGAAUGAGUGUGAGGCGAGCUUUCAGAAGCUCAAGACUGCCUGGACCACAACUCUAGUGUUAGUGUUGCCGUCAGCUUCAAGUUCAUAUACAGUUUAUUGUGAUGCUUUUAGAGUUGGUAUCGGGUGUGUGUUGAUGCAGGAGGGUAGAGUGAUUGCUUAUGCUUCUCGUCAGUUGAAGCCCCACGAGAAGAACUACCCCGUUCAUGAUUUGGAGUUGGAUGUCAUUGUUCACACAUUGAAGAUUUGGAGACAUUAACUCUAUGGUGUGUCUUGUGAGGUGUUUACUGAUCAUCGUAGCCUCCAGCACUUGUUCAAGUAGAAGGAUCUCAAUUUGAGGCAGCGAAGAUGGUUGGAACUGCUAAAGGACUAUGAUAUUACCAUCUUGUAUCACCCGGGGAAGGACAAUGUGGUGGCCGAUGCUUUGAGUAGGAAGGCAAUGAGUAUGGGCAGUUUGGCAUAUAUUCCUGUUGGGGAGCGGCCUAUUGCAGUUGAUGUUCAGGCAUUGGCCUAUCAGUUUGUGAGGUUGGAUAUUUUGGAGCCCAGUCGGGUCUUAGCUUGUGUGGUUUCUCGGUCUUCCUUGUUUGAUCGCAUCAGAGAGGGCCAGUAUGAUGAUCCUCAUUUGCUUGUCCUCAAGGACAGAUUUCAGCACGGGGAUGCCAGAGAUGUAACUAUUGGUGAUGAUAGAGUAUUGAGGAUGCAGGGUCAGAUAUGUGUGCCCAAUGUGGAUGAGCUUCGGGAGUUGAUUAUAGAGGAGGCUCAUAGCUCGCGGGAUUCCAUCCAUCCGGGUGCCACGAAGAUGUUUCAGGAUUUGAGACAACAUUAUUGGUGGAGAAGAAUGAAGAAGGAUAUUGUGGGAUUUUUAGCUCGGUGUCUCAAUUGUGAGCAGGUGAAAUAUGAGUGUUAAUACCCAAUUUUUUCUCAUAUAUUUUUAAAUACUUUCAAAAUAUAUUACAUGCAUAUACAAAUAUGCACAAGUAUUUUUAUAUUUUUUCUAUAAUUUUUAAAGGGCUUUAAAUCAAUUUAUUGUUGUAUUUUUAAUUAUAUAAAUAUUCAAUAAUUAUUCCUCAUAUUACUUUACGAUGAUUUAAUCAUCUAAAUUCAUCAUUUAUGCUCAUGUAAGUGUUCAAAUUGCAUUUUUACAAUUACAUUUGCAUUUUUAAGACUAUAAUUGCAUAUUUUGCAAAAAUAGCCCAUACAUAUGCAUAACUACAUUAUCUAUACCGAAAAUGACUUUUUGUUUUUUUAUAAUUUUAAGUAAUUAUUUUAAAUCAUAUUUAUGAAUACAAAUCAUUUUUAUCACUUAAUUAACUAUUUUUACAAAAAAUUUCUUACUAAUUAAUUGGAUAUUUAACAAAUAGCCCUUUUAAUUCCGUUUCAAUUAAAUUACACCAGCCCAAUAUUUUAAAAUACCAGCCCAAAACCCUCAAGCCCAACUCUGCACCUACCCGACCCAAAGACCUUGCCUAAUCGUGGCCGUUGAUCUCUAAGAUCAACGGUCCACGUUAUUUCUUACCAUUUUUAAUCCUAAGCCUAACCUUAACACCCCAUUUCCCUCUCUUCCGCCGUCAUCAUUUUCCCUAACCUCUCCAUUCUCUCUCAAACACCCCCUAAAACCUAGCUGCUGUCACUUGUAAAACUCCCCGUCCAUGGGGUUUCUGUGUAUUUUCCGGCCUGUGCCGGCCUCUUACAUCUUCUGGUUGUUCGACUUCAUUGAUUUAUGAGAGAAUCUCAAAGAUAUUCAACUGGGUUUUGUCAAAAUCUAUCUCACAGGCUUGUCUUUUGCCAUGCUCAUUUGUGAGUACUGUUUCUUGCCUAUUUUUGGUUUGAAUCUGUGGUUUUGCACCGAGUUUCUUUCAUCUUUGCUAUUUUUAUAAACCCUAAUCUUAUAACUAUUUGGGUCUGCCAGAUCCUUGUAGAUCUAGAAAGUUUAAGUGCUAUUUGAUAUUUUUCCUCAAACAUCUUAUACUUUUGUUAUUACUAUUCUGAUUUCAGUGCUUCUCUGAAAUUAGGGUUUUCAUCCUAAGUUUCUUCAAAAGGUUUUCUUUUUUCAAACUUUCAAGUGUUUAAUCUGAUUAUCCUUUACUCGUUUGGUUAAUUUUGUGUAUGUUCUUUAAACCCUAGGUCUUGUUAUGUUAUUGCACUAAUUUCUUUAAUUUUGAUUCCAUUAUUUGUUUAUUUCUGUCAACCCAAUAUACUGAUUGAUUUUUAUUAGGGAUUCGAAUAAUAUUUUCCUAUUAAAAUCAGUGUUUUCUGUGAUUUUAUCUAUUUCUUUAUUUGUGACCUUGAUUAGUUAUACUUGCCUUAAUCAAACUAUUGAUAUGGUUUGAGAAUCUGAUUGACUCCUAUAUGGUAUAAGAUUGAUUUCUUGCCUUAUUUGAGCCCUAGUUCUCUACCGUUAAUUGACCCUCCCUAAUUUAAAGGGUCUCUUCCGGAUUUCUCUAUUGGAAUUGAUUCCCUAAUUGGCUGAUUGAUUUUAUUUGAUUACCCUUGUUUUACGAACUGUGAUUUCCUCUUUACCUUAUUUGUUUUACCUCACUAAGUGCUAUAUAUACUCUUAUUACUGAUUCUUCAACACACGAACAUAGUUCAACAAAACACAUACACACACAAAACUUUGCUCUCAAAACCUCUCUGCCACUUGUGUUCAUUGCACUGCCUAGCUGGCUGAAAGCCAAAGCUAGUCCACUGAGUUCUGCAUAUCUUUCAUCUUCUGUUUACCAUCUUUAACUGGUAUGUCCCUAUUCCUAAUGUCGUUCGUUAUACUAUGAAGCUUGAACCUAUGUGUUCUCUCAUUUGCUGAUUUACUUUUGUUUAAUCCAUGUCUCUUCUAUAUUUUGAUUAGCAUGUCUACUUCUGUGUUUAACUAUGUAUCCUCCUAUUUAUUGCCUUAAACCAGCAUGCUUACUUAGGCAUUUAAACUAUUAUCGUUACUGUUUAAAAUCAUUUACUGGUUUAUCGCAAUUUUGAUUCAUGAUUAGAUAUCAUGUUUAUAGGACAUCUCUGAUCUACGCCUAGGCAAUUCUGUAGGACAAUUAAAAUCUUGAAAUUAUAAAACUAUGCUUUGUUCAACUGUUUGUGAACUGCCCAUAUUCAGCAAGUCCUAAAAUCAGUAGGCAUACUGAUUAGGUAUCUUUUUCCUUGCUUUAAAAAAAUACUGCAUAUGUUCUUCUUUGUGCUCACCUAGAUAUCCUGCUAUAGGACUUUUAAAGUGUCUGAAAUACUGUUGUUUGAGACGUGCAAUUGCCUGCUUAUUUGUGGAGGUAAAUGUGAGCCUUUAACUAUUGCUUUAUCUGACAGUCUUAUUUGUUUUGUUUGUCGCUUAGAUUUUCUCCUUUUAAGCACUAUAGAAGAAUCUAGAUCCAUCUUAACUAGAAGUCCUAAACACCUCCAUGACCAUAAGUAAGGAACGAGUAAUGCACGCAUAGAGUACGUUUAAUUAGAAUUGCUUAUAUAACCAUUAAGGGGAGGGUAGUCGAGUAGUAAAGAAUAUGAUGACUUGUGCGCUAAUGCUAUGUGUAGUACCCAAACUAGGGAAAGAUUACCAAGUAUUGCACAGAAGUGAUCCUAUAGGCUAAAAAACCUAGUACCAUUUUUAACCCUUGUUUUAAACGUAAUAUCUAUUUGUCUAAAUUGCUUUGUUUGCUUAUAAGACUAAUUCACCUAAUUCGAGUUUGGUCAGACCCACGGUUGUGGACCUCGAGGGCUGCCUAACACCUUCCCCUCAAGGUUAUUUUGAGCUCUUACUCAAUCUCUGGUAAUGCAAAUCGGUUUAUGAGUUAUUUUAUUUAGGUUCCCUAACGCACCUUAAAUUCGUUAGGUGGCAACUCUUCAAAUUCCGUACCCAUCCCAAAAGGAAAUGGGUUGUCCCAAAAGGAAUGUCGAAACCCGAACUCUGCGAGGAAAAGGGGGCGCGACAGCAUGGCAACUCUACUGGGGAUUUUUAGGCUCUUACCAUAAUGAACUUGUAUUUGUGAAUUAGUCUUAAGCAUGCUUUAUUCUGUUAAUACAUAUGCACCCUUUCCCCUUCCCCCUUAUUUGGAUUUAAUUGCCUAUUUCUCAAGCAUUCAUGAUUUCGUUUAUUUCCUGAAACUGACUUGUCUCCUUAUUUUCUUUCUUAACUGUCUUUCAAUUAUUUUGAUACCGCAUUUAUCAUUUUUAACGUGCAAAUACGUGCCUAAAUGCUAUUUAUUGUUGUAUAAAUCAUGCACAACAUCAUAUUCCACUUGUGCGUAAUCAGUCCUAUAGCAACACUUGAUGAGUAUUUGCGCUCUUCUUAUACAUCACCCUUUAAAUUUGGAAAGGCGUAUUUGCGGUAAAACUAGUCGAUCAAGGGUGUAAUUGACGUUUCCGUGCCUUUCCCCCUCAAGUUAUCCGCUUGAGGGUACCAGUCUAGACCUCUAUAGAAACCUUACUCUGAUUAAUUGUAGAUGCAUCAUGGUCAAAUCUAGCCGAGUUAAUAUGUUUUCCACAUAAUAACCUCUUAAGAUAAGCCUCGUCCAAAAGUCCAUCGGGUUUUCCAUAAUCCCAACGGACGCAACCACGAUUGUGUGCAUUAAUUUUUGGGGAAAUAAGUGCCAAUGUGCUAAUCAUUAUUGUAUAAAUAGACGAACUUGGAGCGAAAAGGGCCUAACCAUAUUUUAUUUUGCAAAAAAUGAGGCACGAAGUCCCCAGGUUCGGCAUGGUCAGUAACAUACCAUCACUAUUAUUGGUGGAGGGAUCUUCCAUCAAGUAACCAAAAUCAUGUGAAAAGGGUCUUAGGAAAUUUUCCUUCUUUGUUGGACCUCCAGUCGAACAAAAUGUUAAUCGAAGCAGCUACAAUGUUCUGGGACAAAGAAAGGGAUGUGCUCCACUUUGGAGACAUAGAAAUGACCCUUGUCUUGGAAGAAAUAGGGGAUUCGCUGGGUUGCCAUGGGAUAGCCCUGGUUUAUUGGUACUUGAAAAUCGCACCACUAGAGGAUUUCUUAAGAUGAUGGGGUUAAAGAAGAAUGAUGACUUGGAGUGCCUGAAAAACUCCUACACACCCUUCGACUUCCUCUAUGAACGAUACGGUCACAACAGGUCUUACCAUAUUUUUGAUGAUGAAUUCUCCAUCACCUCUUUCGGUUGGAUUCACCACAGGGUCUUUAUGUUCACCGUGUGUUUCUUGGGUAUGCUCAUGUUCCCGAUCCAAGGAGACAGAAUCCGCACCAGGCUGACCAUGGUGGCCAAAACUUUGAUGGACGGGAUCAAGGGGCAUAUACCAUUGUCCCUAUGAUCAUUCAAGAUAUCUACCGAGCCUUGGAGCGCUGUUAGAAGGGGUAUAGAUACUUCGAGGGUUGGAAUUUGCUGCUGCAAGUUUGGCUGUUAGAACAUCUCCAAAAAGGUCAAUACCGUCAGAAAUUUCUGCGAAGGCCGUGGAAUGAUCAUAUAGCCUUACGUCAUUCCAAGAAAAUGACCUAUAUCCCAGACAUGUUUGCUCAACCAAAGGAUACAAUAGGAUGGGUGCAGUUUUUCAACAAUUUGAUCGAGGACCAGGUUCAAUGGAUGUUCAAGUGGUUCCCUACCGAUGAGUUUAUCAUCAUGUCUAGGGAUGUUCCACACUUGGUACUGAUCGGGUUAAAGGGCAUUUACCCUUAUGCUCCCCUCAAGGUUAUGAGACAUGCAUGAUGGAAGCAGGUCAUACCGUGAGUUGCUAAAAUGAGUCAUUUCAUAGCCGAUUUUUAGGGUGAUGUCAUUCCAUACAAAAAUGAAGCACAUCACAUGUGGCACUUGAAGAUUAUGGUAGAAAAGGAUACAAUCGAGUCGGAUCGGUAUCACACCGGUCACAUGUACUUUUACCAUUCAUAGUUGGAUGAUAACAUAGGGGAAUAUUCGAGCCAAGGGUUGGUCCAGGAAACAAGGUCAUAGACGAAGUUGCCGAACCACAAGUGAAUUAUAACAAAUUGCGCAAAAGAGUUCGCUAGUCUGAAGCCGAGCAUAUGUAGAAACAUAAGGCCGAUAAGAAAAAUAUCAAUGAGUGGAAAGAGAGGGCUGUUAAAUCCAGCGAAAGACUGGAAUAUCUGGAGUACAUUCUGAUGGAAUUGGAAGGGAUAAUGAGGAAGAGAGUAACCGAUUGCCAGAACGCUGAGGGAAACGAAGGAAGGCAUUUGGCAAGGGCAUUCUUACUGCUGAACCUGCGCGAACUGGGGGAUCUGAUCGACAAGAGCAUCCAGCCUGUAGAAGGUCCUUCUGGGACCAAGUAGAUUAUGUUUACUUGCUUUUCAAAUGUAAUAAGGACAAGUGCCAUUAAUGACUUAUCUAAUUUAGUGUCAUUUUGGGUCGUCUAUCUUUAUAUUUAAUGAAAUGAGGCAAUUGUUGGCACUGAAUUUCUCUAAAUCUAUUUGUCGCUAGACCUACCUCGGGCACAACGAGGCCCCCAAAUUAGGAAGCGAAUCUACAUUCCCGUAAUAUGUGUUUAAAUACUGCAAAUUUUUCAGAAUCCUUACUGACCUGUUUACCUUUUGUAUUCCUUUAUUUUUAUUAUUCCCAUCCCCUAAGAUUGGUUCGCACAGACUGGCAUUAUGAGCAUAUCACACCAGAUCUAGAGGCCCUCCACCUCCUCCUACUCCAAGUAAUACGAAAAGCUGAGGAAAUGCUAAGAUGGAUGACUUGAGUGGUAUACGAAAAGAAAAUGCUGAGAAUGCGGAAACUACAGACGGUCAGAAUACUCCACAUAAAAUGACUUGGUCUUGCGAUUGGUGUCACACCUCUUUUUUACCAUCCGAUAGGGGAUAUAAGGGAGUUUUUUCCAAUUUAAGUGACAAUGAAACAGGGUUAUUUUUAUUUAAAAUUCAGAUGCGCCACUUGGGAUAAUUUAUGGUGUCCCAAGUCACCGGUUUAAAUCCAGUAUCGAGGAAAAAUUGACUCUGUUUUACAAUCCGCGAAACACAGAAAUCCGGGUAAGGAAUUCUGUUAACCCGGGAGAAGGUGUUAGGCAUUCCCGAGUUCUGUAGUUUUAGCACGGUCGCUCAACUGUUAUUAUUGGCCCAUUUAUUUGAUUUUAAAACAUCUUUGAAACCUAUGUGCAUUUUUAUUCCUUUUAAACCGCUUUUAAUAUUUCAGAAAAUUUCAAGGUUAUUUAAAACACAUCGUAAGCCCCGCUAUAUGAAAUGUACCCGUGGUUCAGGACACGUUCUAUUUAACCUUAUUAGAAAUUAGAACCAAGUCAUAUGAAAUGUGCACCCGGAUUUUAAUAAUUACGCAUCACAACUACGUCACGGGAACCGUACCCAUAACUAUGAUGAAUUAUUUAAAGAACGCGCCUAAAGCAUGCUAUUGUAUGCAAUUUUUUUCUAGUCUCGAAUUAUUGUAAUGCCACAAAUUAUGAAACUAUCGGGGCGAAAUGGUAUGAUGUACUCUAGUUUUCAUGAUACUAAGCAUUUGAAGGUUAUUGCGAUUUUAAGGAUGGCUUACUCGAAUUUAUGCCUCAAAAGAAUGCCUACGUCUUUACUAAUGUUCAUAUCCGUGCUAAUAAAUAAUAAAUAAUUAAUAUAUAUUGAACUUUACUAUUUACAUACCAACUAUAUACAAUGCAACUUGACAUAACUAAUUUAAGUAACACUUAUUCCAUUUAAAUAAGAAGACAAAAUAAUUAAUUAAGCAUUACAUCAACAAAUCUCACGGGAAAAUAAAGGGGAACACACUGUCACCUAGCCCGCUUUGAUUUAAAGUCCACAUUAUUGAUUUAUUCAUUAGCAAGGAUAAACAUUAUAAAAUCCAUCAAUCUAAAGUCCAAACAAAGUAAAUCUACCAAGCAUAUCUAAACAUUAUAAAAAUAAUAAUAAAGCAUGGUAAGUAUUUGAAUAAGAAAAGGUAAGAGAACUGACCUUUUAUUACACACUUCUCCUUUGAUAUUGAACUAUAGGAGAUUAGAACCCCGGUAACACGACUCCGCGAAAACAACAAGAAGGCAACUAGAAAUCGCGAAACAAGAAAGCCCAAUGAACCUCAGAAUGCCUCGAUGGCGACCACAGGCAGUAGAAUUGACGACCUCGACUUGCCGAGAACUCGACCUCGGCAGUAAGGAAAAUUAGGAAAGAACGAGCUGUUUUGCUGGGUUUAUGGCUCGAUUUGUCGUGUUUAUGAGGCUGGUUUGGAUUGGUUUAGAGGGGGUUAGGAUGCUGCGUGUUUGAAGUGAUUUUUAGGAGGUGUUAUGGUAUUGUUUUGAUUGAUUUUAUGUGGUAAAACGAGGGGAUUUCAGAUCUGCCCCAUGGCCGUGCUUUUGUGAAGCUAAUGAAGCUUAGUUACGGCUCUACAUGGUGUCUUUUGGCUGGAACUUGGUAGUGUUUUGGAGGAAGAAGAAGAUGUUGCUAUGGGUCUUUGAGUGAUUUUCUGUGGCAGAAAAGUGGGGGUGGA